UUAUUUAUUUUCAUUUUACUUAAAAUAUAUGUUUUUGUUAAGUUAACAUAUGUUUUUCUAAUCAAGUCUACGUAAUUGUGUCUAUUAUUCAACGUACAUAAUACUAAUGUGUUACUUGAUCGCAUAACAUUUAAGUUAAGUCAAUGAGGAUCGAUAUACCUUGUAUAUCCACAAGGUGGCAGUAAUGCAAAAACAGUUGUAAUGAAACCGCGCAGAACAAGAAGGUUUCACGGCUUGUGCCUGCUCAUGCGCAAGACUUCAAAUUUAACUGAAAAAGGCUGUUUUGGCGCCAAGCUGCUGUUUCUUUGAGAGAUCCUGCCUUUACCUGCUCCCUCCUAUACUGAUGUGGUGUAUGUGGUAUUGCUGAGCUUGUAUGUGGUGGAAGCAGAAUAUGUGAGGAUUACUACUGCUGCACAUGUUCCAAGGCUUUUUACACAACUUGACCAAUACACCAAUGACCAGCUCAUAAAAGUCUUCAAGAAAAAAGGAGGCGUUGCAGUGAAGAAAAUUAGACAAACUUUGGCCCCAGCCACACAGAAGGAAACCAUUGAAAAGGGGAGGGAGUGUGUCCUCAGGGCACUACCUUUUUACCUGAAUGAAGACCCAAGCAUCCUCUUCAAAGAAUAAUUGCUACAGCUGUUCAGAGGGAGCUGGAACAAAUUAC